AGACGGAAAUAUACUGGCUGGGGAUCUCAAGCACAAUGGAAAGAAAGCAGUGACAGGAUAUAGUGGAGACAGCACACUUAGUUUUAUAUAUCUAGAGAAGCAUUUAUCUAAUCGUGAUGAAACUUGCUAGAAGUUCAUUCUUUAGCACAAUAUAUUGUGUAUCUACAUCUAGGGAUAUAUGGAGUCCUUGUCUAUCUGUAUGUAAGUAUGUCAAAUGUCUAGAGAUGUGCUUUUUCAAACUGAGAUGAAACUUGGUUAGGAGAGGACAUUCUUAGGAUGUUUAUUGUGGAGAGUAUUGGAAUCUGAGGGUAUAAAGGAACAUAUCUUCCAAUGUGGAACUUAAAUAAAAAAAUACGGUGGAUGUAGGCCAUGGUGCUCAACUUUAUCAUGAUACUGUAAGCUGUCAUUUUGAACACAACAUCGGCAGGGGAUGUCGUCACUGGCAUGUUUGUUUUCCUCUAAAGUUAUUUGGUCCCUUUAUAUUAGAUUUUAAGGCAAUUGAUAUAAACUAUGAAAUACUUGUGUUUGAGCAAUUGAAAUACAAAAAAAGAAAGAAAAAGCAAAGAAAAAAACGUGCAGCGAACAUUUCUCAACAAGAAAGCAUGACACCCAUCCACAUUAGCUCCGCCCCGCAUUGUCAAAACUCCUUGCUGCUUCUAUUCAAAACAGGACAAAACAAUCCACACUUUCACUCUUUGACGUUGGAGAGUCCAGCAUCAGACCACAGGUAAGCCACUGCUCUAGCGGCCUCUGUAGUGGCUACUACAUCCAACGCUUACCGCCAUGAACUGAAGGGUUAGAUUAGUACUCAUAAAAAGGAAGCUGUGCUUUGGUGCCCAGAGCAAUGUGUUGAGAUGGGGGAGGGCAUUACGACGCAAUGGAUUCUCCUGUCUUUCCUACAGGACCAGAGGUGCAACAACCAGGAAUAUAAGAAGGAACUGGACACUUUGGAAAGUGAGCUGAAUAAGAAGAGGCCUGGGAUUUCAAACUACUGCAGUCUCUGGAGAAACAAUCAAGAGCAUUUCAGUGAUGGUGAUGAUGGAGAGCUACAGACAGACGGCCAUUUUUGUUCUGACAUUAGAAUUGUUUGCAGAGAGAUGCAGCCUGAUGUACAAGGAAAUGCUGUUGAUGUCGGUGCGGCAAGGCAAAUCGCAGCAAAUCUGAUUGAGAUCGCAGAUCAGCUGGACCAAAGUGUGGUUUCACGGGCCUCGGCUAAUUUAGCCAGACGCAUGCAAGAAAGGAUUUCACAAGACUGGACAGGCUUGCUAUCCUCCGAAGUGGAGCUCUUGAUGCAGCAGGGCAUCCCGGGGCUGCAGCAGUUCUCUCAAGAGAAAGUCAUGCUCACCCUCACCAUGGUGCUAGUGCAGAACAUUGGAGUGCAUGCUCCCACUUUGCUACGCAGCUUUUUCAGUAGUGCUGUGCAAUUUAUUAACGAUAAUCUCCAGAACUUCAUAAGAGAUCAAGGAGGAUGGGGAGGAAUUUAACCAUGGAAAGGGAAUUCAGGCUGCCAGCUCUGGUUAUGUAUCCAACAUUUUCAUGUUACAUGUUUUACCAUGAA